GAGCAUCCCGGAGCGUCGGCCGCCGGCGCGGAGCCCGGCCCGGGCGGCCGCGAUGAGGAUCUGGAGCUCCCAGCACGUGUUCGGCCACCCGUGGGACGCGGUGGCGCAGGCGGCCAUGCGGAAGUACCCGAACCCGAUGAACCCGAGCGUGGUGGGCGUGGACGUGCUGGAGCGCCGCGUGGACGGCCGCGGGCGGCUGCACAGCCUGCGCCUGCUCAGCACCGAGUGGGGGCUGCCCGCGCUCGUGACGGCGAUUUUGGGAACCAGUAGGACUUUGACAUACAUCCAAGAACAUUCUGUUGUGGAUCCAGUGGAAAAGAAAAUGGAACUUAGUUCCACCAAUAUCACACUCACAAAUUUGGUGUCAGUUAAUGAGAGGUUGGUGUACACACCUCAUCCAGAGAACCCAGAAAUGACUGUGCUCACACAAGAAGCUAUCAUCACCGUAAAAGGGAUUAGCCUUGGCAGCUAUUUGGAAAGUUUAAUGGCCAACACGAUAUCAUCCAAUGCAAAGAAGGGCUGGGCUGCUAUUGAGUGGAUAAUUGAGAAUUCUGAAAGCGCCGUGAGCUAACGAGGGCCGCACCAGCGCCUUGCGAUGAGCAGUGGUAACUACAGCACUCAUUAUCCUGAUACCUCACCAAAAAAAUCAAAAUAGGACGAAA